UGGUUUGAGUGUCUUUGAACGGGGUAUGGAAGUAGGUGCCGGGCGCACUGGUUUGAGUGUCUUUGAACGGGGUAUGGUAGUAGGUGCCAGGCGCACCGGUUUGAGUGUCUUUGAACGGGGUAUGGAAGUAGGUGCCAAGCGCACUGGUUUG